UUCUGCAAGCGUGUUCCCCAGACUGGCAGAAUCAGCAGCAGCACUUUGUGGGAAAUGCAAAUUCUCAGGCCUCACCCAGACCAACAAAAACCCUGCAAGAAUUUGAAAGCCGCUCGCAACACUCCUGAGGCCUAGCACUACCUGGGGCCAGCCAGAGAGAGAGAGAGAGAAUGCACAAGCAGAGGGAGCAGCACAGGGAAGGCAGAUGCGGGCUUCCAGCUUAGCAGGGAGCCCAUGGUGGGACU